AUACGGAGGGUGCAAGCGUUACUCGGAAUCACUGGGCGUAAAGCGCGCGCAGGCGGCUAUUUAAGUUGGAUGUGGAAGCCUACGGCUCAACCGUAGAACUGCAUCCAAAACUAUUUAGCUAGAGUGUGGGAGAGGAAGAUGGAAUUAGUUGUGUAGGGGUAAAAUCCGUAGAGAUAACUAGGAAUACCAAAAGCGAAGGCAAUCUUCUGGAACACUACUGACGCUGAGGCGCGAAAGCGUGGGGAGCAAACGGGAUUAGAUACCCUAGUAGUCC
rnacentral:rRNA from 1 species